UACGGAGGGUGCAAGCGUUAUCCGGAUUUACUGGGUUUAAAGGGUGCGUAGGUGGGUCUGUAAGUCAGUGGUGAAAUCUCCGGGCUUAACCCGGAAACUGCCAUUGAUACUAUAGGUCUUGAAUACUCUGGAGGUAAGCGGAAUAUGUCAUGUAGCGGUGAAAUGCUUAGAUAUGACACAGAACACCGAUUGCGAAGGCAGCUCACUAAACUGUAACUGACGCUGAGGCACGAAAGCGUGGGGAGCAAACAGG
rnacentral:rRNA from 1 species